rnacentral:rRNA from 1 species
UCGAACGCACUCUUCGGAGUGAGUGGCAGACGGGUGAGUAACGCGUGGGAAUCUACCUAUCACUACGGAACAACUCCGGGAAACUGGAGCUAAUACCGUAUACGUCCUUCGGGAGAAAGAUUUAUCGGUAAUGGAUGAGCCCGCGUUGGAUUAGCUAGUUGGUGGGGUAAUGGCCUACCAAGGCGACGAUCCAUAGCUGGUCUGAGAGGAUGAUCAGCCACACUGGGACUGAGACACGGCCCAGACUCCUACGGGAGGCAGCAGUGGGGAAUAUUGGACAAUGGGCGCAAGCCUGAUCCAGCCAUGCCGCGUGAGUGAUGACGGCCCUAGGGUUGUAAAGCUCUUUCGCAGGUGAAGAUAAUGACGGUAACCUGAGAAGAAGCCCCGGCUAACUUCGUGCCAGCAGCCGCGGUAAUACGAAGGGGGCUAGCGUUG